rnacentral:rRNA from 1 species
GGGGGCGGGGAGGGUCUAGCAUGCGAGUCAUUGUAGCAAUACAAGGCAGACGGCUCAGUAACGCGUAGUCAAUCUACCCUAUGGACGGGAAUAACCUCGGGAAACUGAGAAUAAUGCCCGACAGAACAUUAUACCUGGAACGGUUUAUGUUUCAAAUGAUUUAUCGCCGUAGGAUGGGACUGCGGCCUAUCAGUUUGUUGGUGAGGUAAUGGCCCACCAAGACUAUUACAGGUACGGGCUCUGAGAGGAGUAGCCCGGAGAUGGGUACUGAGACACGGACCCAGGCCCUAUGGGGCGCAGCAGGCGAGAAAACUUUGCAAUGUGCGAAAGCACGACAAGGUUAAUCCGAGUGGUUUCUGCUAAAGAAACCUUUUGCUAGUCCUAGAAACACUAGUGAAUAAGGGGUGGGCAAGUUCUGGUGUCAGCCGCCGCGGUAAAACCAGCACCUCAAGUGGUCAGGAUGAUUAUUGGGCCUAAAGCAUCCGUAGCUCGUUUUGUAAGUUUUCGGUUAAAUCCAUACGCUUAACGUAUGGGCUGCCGGGAAUACUGCAUAACUAGGAAGUGGGAGAGGUAGACGGUACUCGGUAGGAAGGGGUAAAAUCCUUUGAUCUAUUGAUGACCACCUGUGGCGAAGGCGGUCUACCAGAACACGUUCGACGGUGAGGGAUGAAAGCUGGGGGAGCAAACCGGAUUAGAUACCCGGGUAGUCCCAGCUGUAAACUAUGCAAACUCAGUGAUGCAUUGGCUUGUGGCCAAUGCAGUGCUGCAGGGAAGCCGUUAAGUUUGCCGCCUGGGAAGUACGUACGCAAGUAUGAAACUUAAAGGAAUUGGCGGGGGAGCACCACAAGGGGUGAAGCCUGCGGUUCAAUUGGAGUCAACGCCGGG